CGAUGAACCUCCUUCGGGAGGGGAUUAGUGGCGAACGGGUGAGUAACACGUGGGCAAUCUGCCCUGCACUCUGGGACAAGCCCUGGAAACGGGGUCUAAUACCGGAUACGACACACGGAGGCAUCUCCUGUGUGUGGAAAGCUCCGGCGGUGCAGGAUGAGCCCGCGGCCUAUCAGCUUGUUGGUGAGGUAACGGCUCACCAAGGCGACGACGGGUAGCCGGCCUGAGAGGGCGACCGGCCACACUGGGACUGAGACACGGCCCAGACUCCUACGGGAGGCAGCAGUGGGGAAUAUUGCACAAUGGGCGCAAGCCUGAUGCAGCGACGCCGCGUGAGGGAUGACGGCCUUCGGGUUGUAAACCUCUUUCAGCAGGGAAGAAGCGCAAGUGACGGUACCUGCAGAAGAAGCGCCGGCUAACUACGUGCCAGCAGCCGCGGUAAUACGUAGGGCGCAAGCGUUGUCCGGAAUUAUUGGGCGUAAAGAGCUCGUAGGCGGCUUGUCGCGUCGGUUGUGAAAGCCCGGGGCUUAACCCCGGGUCUGCAGUCGAUACGGGCAGGCUAGAGUUCGGUAGGGGAGAUCGGAAUUCCUGGUGUAGCGGUGAAAUGCGCAGAUAUCAGGAGGAACACCGGUGGCGAAGGCGGAUCUCUGGGCCGAUACUGACGCUGAGGAGCGAAAGCGUGGGGAGCGAACAGGAUUAGAUACCCUGGUAGUCCACGCCGUAAACGGUGGGCACUAGGUGUGGGCCACAUUCCACGUGGUCCGUGCCGCAGCUAACGCAUUAAGUGCCCCGCC
rnacentral:rRNA from 1 species